rnacentral:misc_RNA from 1 species
UUUCCGUAGGUGAACCUGCGGAAGGAUCAUUCAUAAUAAGUGUUUUACUGCACUUUUUAAACAAGUCCUGACCUUGUGUGCAGUGUUUGCUGACAUCGUCGUUCACGCGUCGCGUCAGCAUAAUACCAACCCUUUAUUGAAACUUUUUUGUCUGAAGAUAUUUUGCAUAAAUAAUUCUAAAUACAACUUUCAACAACGGAUCUCUUGGCUCUC